GUCGAAAGCCGAGUAUGAGAAUAAGACGUACCGACAGCAUUGGCGACAAUGGGAAAUUUUCACAACUCGAGGGACCAACCUACGAGCAAUCAUUCAACAAUUACAAAUAUUCCUUGUGGCUGGAGCAUCGUUUGCCAUUGUCCACAUCGCGUAAAUCUUAUCUUAUUUCACCGUUCUGAAGGAGCAACUAGACGCUGUAAAGUAUGGCUGAAGCAAUCCUUCUUGAAUCGUGCAUCGUAAACCAGCGUGUCAAUUUGGUCAGUUGAAGCACCACGAUGUAGCAGUGUAACUUUAAAAACGCAUGUCCACCUUAUGACACGGCGUCCGUUUAAAUAUUGCCCAUAAGUGCGCGCGUUUCGACUAUGUGCUUCGUGCUUUUAUUUCAAAAGCAGUUUCGCGCUUCCUGGGCAGUGGAUAUCCUCGUAGAGUCAACGUGGCGCCAAGAAAAUGCGCUUAGACGAUUUUUACGCGCGACGGGAUUACGUCGUUGAUGGUGCCAAAUAUCCGAAGCUCGACUAAACAGUACACAACGGUUCGUUUCGCUUUACAACGCGUCGUAAAGCAGCCAGGAGCCACUCGCGAUCCUCGAAGCCGAUCGAUCGUUUCCACGCUGCUGAGAACUUUUACGUAGUCAUCGAAGACGCAGGGUAGGUAAUCCAAGAUCGAAAGCGCCGACAGCCGAGCUUAUUCCGCGCAAUACCCAGGAACAAGAAGGUAUAAAGUUUGCAUUGAGAAUGAUAAGGAAUCGAUAUGAGUUUACAGAGGAACGAACCAGGUUUCCUAGCGCACCUGUUCGCACACUGGUUUCUCCUUUUUCUAUCCCCAUCGUCGUUCCUCCUGUCGUCAGUUCUCCUUUCGAUCCGGAUCUCCUCGCCUCUGUCGUUUCUUCCCUUUAACUUAAUGCUAUCAUCGAGGCUUUAUUCUGGAAAGGUUCGAGCAGUUCUGGUACCGAACGUAAGCCGACCAACGUCUCUUAUAUUUCUUUCUCUUCUGUUUCCAUCGUUCUGUCGCUUUCUACUUCUCUUCUUUUCUCCCUUUUUUUCGUUCGUUCUCUUACUACUUCGCUCGGCUCGUCAGCGUUGUAGAUGGCUUUCCAGAUAUCUUUCGAGAUAGUCGUUCUCUCGGGAGGAUAGGCUGCGACCGAAAGAUACCGCUAAGAAAUCGUUGGUGACAAGCCCAGUCUUACGGAAUUUUUUAAUCUUAAAGGAAAGAAAGAAAGUUCGAUGCCUACAUCUUUCGCUCAAUAAUCCCUCCAGUCGGUCGUGGAAAGGAUCAGAUAAGAGAUAGAUGAAGGAAUAAUGGUUACAACGGUAAUCAACGCGCCCGUUACGGUGUGACUAAUGAAUGCGUAAGAGUUUCUAUCGACUGGGGAAAGAAGGAUGAAGUUCGUCGUCUUCUUGGCGGCGGAAUCACAUUACAAACAAAGGUUUAAAAAUUGUGUAAAACAAACGCUAAGCGUCUACUACAGACAGUGGAGCGUAUAAGCGGGAGUCAUAAAAAAAUUCUAAUACGAUGUUUAAUAAAAUAUUUUCCAUGAGACAAUUACAGCUUCUUUACUAUCUUUAUUAGUGUAAUUUAAAUUGUUGUUUAGGUUUCAGCAAUACAAUUUUACAAUUUUAUUAAUUAAAAUUUUGCUCUUCGAGCAGUGACAAGGAAACACUACUAGGAGCAGUGCAAAGAUACACGUUUGCAAACAAAAAGCAUGUACGACUGUAGGUGUACUUUACGAGUACAGUAGAUACCAUAUUUCAACGAGAGAAUAACUUGGUUACAGCUGCUUUAAAUUUACGAUAGGGAUGCUAUAUUAUAACAUAUAUGGAUGGUGGUUCCAAACAUUUGAGCGAGAAGAUUUGACUCUUUAUGCUUGUAGUAAUUCUGUAUACUUGCAAUUAAAACUCUGAUACUACUUAUGAGUAUUCCUUUUGUGAUAUUUUAUAUAUGUAUGUAUUUAUGAUAACCUGAUAGUAAAAAAUAUUUGUAUGUACUAUAUGUGUUACAUGAAUAUUCUUCAAUUAUCUGUAAUAAAUAAAAUAGUAAAAAAUAAGAAUGACAAGUAAUAAUAUUUAAAAAAAACUGCUAGAAAGACGA